rnacentral:rRNA from 1 species
CGAGUCCGAGUCUCCACGGAGACGAAGUGGCGGUCAUCCAGCUUCCUAGAAAAGCUCUAACCACGUUAAUCUUUAGUUGCCUGUACCCGAAACCGACACAGGUAGGGGGGUAGAGAAUACCAAGGGGCGCGAGAUAACUCUCUCUAAGGAACUCGGCAAAAUGACCCCGUAACUUCGGGAGAAGGGGUACCACUGAGAAGUGGUCGCAGUGAAGAGGCCCAGGCGACUGUUUACCAAAAACACAGGUCUCCGCCAAGUCGCAAGACGAAGUAUGGGGGCUGACGCCUGCCCAGUGCCGGAAGGUUAAGGAAGUGGGUUAGGGAUUCGUCCCGAAGCUGACGACUGAAGCCCCGGUGAACGGCGGCCGUAACUAUAACGGUCCUAAGGUAGCGAAAUUCCUUGUCGGGUAAGUUCCGACCCGCACGAAAGGCGUAACGAUCUGGGCGCUGUCUCGGAGAGAGGCUCGGCGAAAUAGGAUUGUCUGUGAAGAUACGGACUACCUGCACCUGGACAGAAAGACCCUAUGAAGCUUUACUGUAGCUUGGAAUUGGGUUCGGGCUUGGUUUGCGCAGGAUAGGUGGGAGGCGAAGAAGAUUUGCUUGUGGGUGAAUCUGAGCCAACGGUGAGAUACCACUCUAACCAGGCUAGAAUUCUAACUUCAACCCGUCAACCGGGGGAAGGACAGUUUCAGGUGGGCAGUUUGACUGGGGCGGUCGCCUCCUAAAAGAUAACGGAGGCGCACAAAGGUUCCCUCAGGCUGGUUGGAAAUCAGCCAACGAGUGCAAAGGCAGAAGGGAGCUUGACUGCGAGACCUACAAGUCAAGCAGGGUGGAAACACGGUCUUAGUGAUCCGACGGCACCGAGUGGAAGGGCCGUCGCUCAACGGAUAAAAGUUACUCUAGGAUAACAGGCUGAUCUCCCCCAAGAGUUCACAUCGACGGGGAGGUUUGGCACCUCGAUGUCGGCUCAUCGCAACCUGGGGCGGAAGUACGUCCCAAGGGUUGGGCUGUUCGCCCAUUAAAGCGGUACGUGAGCUGGGUUCAGAACGUCGUGAGACAGUUCGGUCCAUAUCCGGUGUAGGCGCAAGAACAUUGAGAGGAGUCUUCCUUAGUACGAGAGGACCGGGAAGAACGCACCGCUGGUGUACCUGUUAUCGUGCCAACGGUAAACGCAGGGUAGCCAAGUGCGGAGUGGAUAACCGCUGAUAGCAUCUAAGUGGUAAGCCCACCUCAAGAUGAGUGUUCUCAUGGAGUAAUCCAGUAAGGUCACGGGAAGACGACCCGUUGAUAGGCGGUAGGUGGAAGUUCAGCAAUGGAUGAAGCCGAGCCGUACUAACAGACCGAGGGCUUGAC